GCCGGGCACGGUGGUGCACGCCUGUAAUUCCAGCGGCGUGGGAGGCUGAGGCAGGAGGACCUGAGUUCAAAGCCAGCCUUAGCAAAAGUGAGGUGCUAAGCAACUCAGUGAGAUCCUGUCUUUA
rnacentral:sRNA from 1 species